AGAACGAACGCUGGCGGCGUGGAUAAGACAUGCAAGUCGAACGGGUUUAGUUUCGGAGCAAUUCGGAAUUAGGCCAGUGGCGAACGGGUGCGUAACACGUGAGUCAUCUGCCUGAAGGUGGGGGAUAGCUCGCCGAAAGGCGAAUUAAUACCGCAUGUGGUUGUAAGACCAAAGCCGGGGCAACCUGGCGCUUUUAGAGGAACUCGCGGCCUAUCAGCUUGUUGGUGAGGUAACGGCUUACCAAGGCUUCGACGGGUAGCUGGUCUGAGAGGACGACCAGCCACACUGGAACUGAGACACGGUCCAGACACCUACGGGUGCAGCAGUCGAGAAUUUUUUCUCAAUGGGGGAAACCCUGAAGGAGCGACGCCGCGUGGAGGAUGAAUGCUUUCGGGUUGUAAACUCCUGUCAUUUGGGAACAAAGCCUUACGUUAACUGCGUGGAGGUUUGAUAGUACCGAAAGAGGAAGAGACGGCUAACUCUGUGCCAGCAGCCGC
rnacentral:rRNA from 1 species